rnacentral:rRNA from 1 species
UACGGGGGGGGCAAGCGUUGUUCGGAAUUACUGGGCGUAAAGGGCUCGUAGGCGGCCAACUAAGUCAGACGUGAAAUCCCUCGGCUUAACCGGGGAACUGCGUCUGAUACUGGAUGGCUUGAAUCCGGGAGAGGGAUGCGGAAUUCCAGGUGUAGCGGUGAAAUGCGUAGAUAUCUGGAGGAACACCGGUGGCGAAGGCGGCAUCCUGGACCGGCAUUGACGCUGAGGAGCGAAAGCCAGGGAGCA